rnacentral:rRNA from 1 species
GAUGAACGCUGGCGGCGUGCCUAAUACAUGCAAGUCGAGCGAACAGAUGAGGAGCUUGCUCCUCUGACGCUAGCGGCGGACGGGUGAGUAACACGUGGAUAACCUACCUAUAAGACUGGGAUAACUUCGGGAAACCGGAGCUAAUACCGGAUAAUAUAUUGAACCGCAUGGUUCAAUAGUGAAAGACGGUUUUGCUGUCACUUAUAGAUGGAUCCGCGCCGCAUUAGCUAGUUGGUAAGGUAACGGCUUACCAAGGCAACGAUGCGUAGCCGACCUGAGAGGGUGAUCGGCCACACUGGAACUGAGACACGGUCCAGACUCCUACGGGAGGCAGCAGUAGGGAAUCUUCCGCAAAGGGCGAAAGCCUGACGGAGCAACGCCGCGUGAGUGAUGAAGGUCUUCGGAUCGUAAAACUCUGUUAUUAGGGAAGAACAAAUGUGUAAGUAACUAUGCACGUCUUGACGGUACAUAAUCAGAAAGCCACGGCUAACUACGUG